rnacentral:rRNA from 1 species
CUAGCAUAUCAAUAAGCGGAGGAAAAGAAACCAACAGGGAUUGCCCUAGUAACGGCGAGUGAAGCGGCAACAGCUCAAAUUUGAAAUCUGGCUCUUUCAGAGUCCGAGUUGUAAUUUGCAGAGGGCGCUUUGGCUUUGGCAGCGGUCCAAGUUCCUUGGAACAGGACGUCACAGAGGGUGAGAAUCCCGUACGUGGUCGCUAGCUAUUGCCGUGUAAAGCCCCUUCGACGAGUCGAGUUGUUUGGGAAUGCAGCUCUAAAUGGGAGGUAAAUUUCUUCUAAAGCUAAAUAUUGGCCAGAGACCGAUAGCGCACAAGUAGAGUGAUCGAAAGAUGAAAAGCACUUUGGAAAGAGAGUCAAACAGCACGUGAAAUUGUUGAAAGGGAAGCGCUUGCAGCCAGACUUGCUUGCAGUUGCUCAUCCGGGCUUUUGCCCGGUGCACUCUUCUGCAGGCAGGCCAGCAUCAGUUUGGGCGGUGGGAUAAAGGUCUCUGUCAUGUACCUCUCUUCGGGGAGGCCUUAUAGGGGAGGCGACAUACCACCAGCCUAGACUGAGGUCCGCGCAUCUGCUAGGAUGCUGGCGUAAUGGCUGUAAGCGGCCCGUCUUGAAACACGGACCAAGGAGUCUAACAUCUAUGCGAGUGUUUGGGUGUCAAGCCCGAGCGCGUAAUGAAAGUGAACGGAGGUGGGAACCCGCAAGGGUGCACCAUCGACCGAUCCUGAAGUUUACGGAAGGAUUUGAGUAAGAGCAUGGCUGUUGGGACCCGAAAGAUGGUGAACUAUGCUUGAAUAGGGUGAAGCCAGAGGAAACUCUGGUGGAGGCUCGCAGCGGUUCUGACGUGCAAAUCGAUCGUCAAAUUUGGGCAUAGGGGCGAAAGACUAAUCGAACUAUCUAGUAGCUGGUUCCUGCCGAAGU